AGGCUUGUAACUCAGUGGUUAGAGUAUCAUUUUGACUCAAUGAAUGUCAUUGGUUCGAUCCCAAUCUAGCCUA
rnacentral:tRNA from 1 species